GGCCGCUUGGUCUAGGGGUAUGAUUCCUGCUUCGGGUGCAGGAGGUCCCGGGUUCAAAUCCCGGAGCGGCCC
rnacentral:tRNA from 1 species